rnacentral:rRNA from 1 species
GAUGAACGCUGGCGGCGUGCCUCAUACAUGCAAGUCGAGCGAAGCGGGGACGGGUGAGUAACACGUGGAUAACCUCCUAUAAGACUGGGAUCACUUCGGGAAACCGGAUCUUCACCGUCUACUUCUAUAUGGAUCCGCCGUGCAUUAGCUAGUUGGUAAGGUAACGGCUUACCCAGGCAACGAUGCAUAGCCGACCUGAGAGGGGGAUCGGCCACACUGGAACUGAGAAACGGUCCAGACGCCUACGGGAGGCAGCAGUGGGGAAUCUUCCGCAAGGGGCGAAAGCCUGACGGAGCAAGGCCGCGUGAGUGAUGAAGGUCUUCGGAUCGUAAAACUCUGUUAGUAGGGAAGCGGUACCUAAACAGAAAGCCACGGCUAACUACGUGCCAGCAGCCGCGGUAAUAC